rnacentral:rRNA from 1 species
AGAGUUUGAUCCUGGCUCAGGACGAACGCUGGCGGCGUGCUUAACACAUGCAAGUCGAACGAUGAUGCUCCAGCUUGCUGGGGUGGAUUAGUGGCGAACGGGUGAGUAACACGUGAGUAACCUGCCCCCCUCUUUGGGAUAACCUCGGGAAAUCGGGGCUAAUACUGAAUAUUCUGAUUCUGCCGCAUGGUGGGGUUUGGAAAGAUUUAUCGGUGGGGGAUGGACUCGCGGCCUAUCAGUUUGUUGGUGGGGUAGUGGCCUACCAAGACUACGACGGGUAGCCGGCCUGAGAGGGCGACCGGCCACACUGGGACUGAGAUACGGCCCAGACUCCUACGGGAGGCAGCAGUGGGGAAUAUUGCACAAUGGGCGAAAGCCUGAUGCAGCGACGCCGCGUGGAGGAUGACUGCCUUCGGGUUGUAAACUCCUUUCAGUAGGGAAGAAGCCGUAAGGUGACGGUACCUGCAGAAGAAGCGCCGGCUAACUACGUGCCAGCAGCCGCGGUAAUACGUAGGGCGCAAGCGUUGUCCGGAAUUAUUGGGCGUAAAGAGCUCGUAGGCGGCUUGUCGCGUCUGCUGUGAAAACCCGGAGCUCAACUCCGGGCCUGCAGUGGGUACGGGCAGGCUAGAGUGCGGUAGGGGAGAUUGGAAUUCCUGGUGUAGCGGUGGAAUGCGCAGAUAUCAGGAGGAACACCGAUGGCGAAGGCAGAUCUCUGGGCCGUAACUGACGCUGAGGAGCGAAAGCAUGGGGAGCGAACAGGAUUAGAUACCCUGGUAGUCCAUGCCGUAAACGUUGGGAACUAGAUGUAGGGCCUGUUCCACGGGUUCUGUGUCGUAGCUAACGCAUUAAGUUCCCCGCCUGGGGAGUACGGCCGCAAGGCUAAAACUCAAAGGAAUUGACGGGGGCCCGCACAAGCGGCGGAGCAUGCGGAUUAAUUCGAUGCAACGCGAAGAACCUUACCAAGGCUUGACAUAUACCAGAACACCGUAGAAAUACGGGACUCUUUGGACACUGGUAUACAGGUGGUGCAUGGUUGUCGUCAGCUCGUGUCGUGAGAUGUUCGGUUAAGUCCGGCAACGAGCGCAACCCUCGUCCUAUGUUGCCAGCGGGUUAUGCCGGGAACUCAUGGGAUACUGCCGUGGUCAACACGGAGGAAGGUGGGGAUGACGUCAAAUCAUCAUGCCCCUUAUGUCUUGGGCUUCACGCAUGCUACAAUGGCCGGUACAAAGAGCAGCGAUACCGUGAGGUGGAGCGAAUCUCAAAAAGCCGGUCUCAGUUCGGAUUGGGGUCUGCAACUCGACCCCAUGAAGUCGGAGUCGCUAGUAAUCGCAGAUCAGCAACGCUGCGGUGAAUACGUUCCCGGGCCUUGUACACACCGCCCGUCAAGUCAUGAAAGUCGGUAACACCCGAAGCCGAUGGCCUAACCCUUGUGGAGGGAGUCGUCGAAGGUGGGACUGGUGAUUAGGACUAAGUCGUAACAAGGUA